AUUGAACGCUGGCGGAAUGCUCUACACAUGCAAGUCGAACGAUGAACCUUAGCUUGCUAAGGGGAUUAGUGGCGAACGGGUGAGUAAUAUAUCGGAACGUACCUUGUAAUGGGGGAUAACUAGUCGAAAGAUUAGCUAAUACCGCAUACGCCCUGAGGGGGAAAGUAGGGGAUCUUCGGACCUUACGUUAUAAGAGCGGCCGAUAUCUGAUUAGCUAGUUGGUGGGGUAAUGGCCUACCAAGGCGACGAUCAGUAUCUGGUCUGAGAGGACGACCAGCCACACUGGAACUGAGACACGGUCCAGACUACUACGGGAGGCAGCAGUGGGGAAUUUUGGACAAUGGGCGCAAGCCUGAUCCAGCCAUUCCGCGUGAGUGAAGAAGGCCUUCGGGUUGUAAAGCUCUUUCGCAAGGGAAGAAAACUUACAUUCUAAUAAAGUGUGAGGCUGACGGUACCUUGAUAAGAAGCACCGGCUAACUACGUGCCAGCCGCCGCAGUAA
rnacentral:rRNA from 1 species